GUGUCAGCAGCCGCGGUAAUACGGAGGGUGCGAGCGUUGUCCGGAAUCACUGGGCGUAAAGGGCGCGUAGGCGGCCCGGCAAGUCAACGGUGAAAGCUUGGGGCUCAACCCCGAGUCGGCCGUCGAUACUUCCGGGCUGGAGCACUGUAGAGGCAGGUGGAAUUCCGGGUGUAGCGGUGGAAUGCGUAGAGAUCCGGAAGAACACCGGUGGCGAAGGCGGCCUGCUGGGCAGUAGCUGACGCUGAGGCGCGACAGCGUGGGGAGCAAACAGGAUUAGAUACCCUGGUAGUCCACGCCGUAAACGAUGGGCACUAGGUGCUUGGGGGAGCGACCCCCUGAGUGCCGGCGCUAACGCAUUAAGUGCCCCGCCUGGGGAGUACGGCCGCAAGGCUGAA
rnacentral:rRNA from 1 species